ACGGCCUGUUUCUCUCCUAG
rnacentral:miRNA from 1 species